rnacentral:rRNA from 1 species
AGGCACCGGAAGGUGUACUUGGUAA